UAGGGAAUCUUCGGCAAUGGGGGGAACCCUGACCGAGCAACGCCGCGUGAGUGAAGAAGGUUUUCGGAUCGUAAAGCUCUGUUGUUAAGGAAGAACGAGUGUGAGAAUGGAAAGUUCAUACUGUGACGGUACUUAACCAGAAAGGGACGGCUAACUACGUGCCAGCAGCCGCGGUAAUACGUAGGUCCCGAGCGUUGUCCGGAUUUAUUGGGCGUAAAGCGAGCGCAGGCGGUUAGAUAAGUCUGAAGUUAAAGGCAGUGGCUCAACCAUUGUAGGCUUUGGAAACUGUUUAACUUGAGUGCAGAAGGGGAGAGUGGAAUUCCAUGUGUAACGGUGAAAUGCGUAGAUAUAUGGAGGAACACCGGUGGCGAAAGCGGCUCUCUGGUCUGUAACUUACGCUGAGGCUCGAAAGCGUGGGGAGCGAACAGG
rnacentral:rRNA from 1 species